GAAUAUUGGACAAUGGGGGCAACCCUGAUCCAGCCAUGCCGCGUGUGUGAAGAAGGCCAUCGGGUUGUAAAGCACUUUCAGCGAGGAAGAACGCCUAGCGGUUAAUACCCGCUAGGAAAGACAUCACUCGCAGAAGAAGCACCGGCUAACUCCGUGCCAGCAGCCGCGGUAAUACGGAGGGUGCAAGCGUUAAUCGGAAUUACUGGGCGUAAAGCGCGCGUAGGUGGCUUGAUAAGCCGGUUGUGAAAGCCCCGGGCUCAACCUGGGAACGGCAUCCGGAACUGUCAGGCUAGAGUGCAGGAGAGG
rnacentral:rRNA from 1 species